rnacentral:rRNA from 1 species
GAUGAACGCUAGCGGCAGGCCUAAUACAUGCAAGUCGAACGAUACCAGAGAGCUUGCUUUCUGGGAAAGUGGCGCACGGGUGCGUAACGCGUAUGCAACCUACCUUAAUCAGGGGGAUAGCCUCUCGAAAGAGAGAUUAACACCGCAUAAAAUCACACUUCGGCAUCGAAGAAUGAUCAAAUAUUUAUAGGAUUAAGAUGGGCAUGCGUGACAUUAGCUAGUUGGUAAGGUAACGGCUUACCAAGGCUACGAUGUCUAGGGGAUCUGAGAGGAUGACCCACCACACUGGUACUGAGACACGGACCAGACUCCUACGGGAGGCAGCAGUAAGGAAUAUUGGUCAAUGGGGGCAACCCUGAACCAGCCAUGCCGCGUGCAGGAAGACGGCCCUACGGGUUGUAAACUGCUUUUAUACGGGAAUAAAUCUCGCUACGUGUAGUGAGUUGAAUGUACUGUAAGAAUAAGGAUCGGCUAACUCCGUGCCAGCCGCCGCGGUAACAC